GGUUUGUAGGCAGUGUAGUUAAGCUGAUUGUAUCUGUUGCUUUGCAAUCACUAACUUCACUGACAUCAAAAC
rfam:Chlamydotis undulata macqueenii contig30185, whole genome shotgun sequence.